ACACCCGAGACCAUGAACCCCUUUGGUCAUCACGGCGGCCACCAACACCACCACCACGGCCAAGAGGAGGAGGAUGAACGGCAUCGCUACCCUCCGCCGGGCUACCAGCCACCGCUUCCCACGCCGCCGUACUAUGGGGGCCCAGCCUACCCGCCGGCCGUCCAGCACGUGUCCCACGAGGGCGGUCCCGGAUACGGUCUGCCGGCCGUCCAGCACGUGUCGCACGAGGGCGGGCCCGGCUACGGCCCGCCGCCGCCUGUCUACCCUCCCCCGCCUGGCUACCACGGCGAGGGGAGCUACGGCGGCAGCCAGCACCACCACGGCCCCUCUCCUCCGCCCACCUACCCUCCCGCUCCCGGUCCCGGGGACCAUCAUGACGGUGGCUACGGCCAUCAGCACCAUCAGCACCACCACUUCCUCCCGCACUUCCCCGGGGUCCACCACGUGAGCCACGAGAGAUGGGAAGGAGAGGCAGCGGCGCCGCCGCCGCCGGGGCAUGGGCAGCCGACCGUCAGGAUCUACACCAAGGCAGAGAAUAACUUCUCUCUGUCCAUUCGUGAUGGGAAGGUGAUCCUCGCGCGCAACGAUCCCACAGACCCGUACCAGCACUGGAUCAGGGACAUGAGGUACAGCACCAAGGUGAAGGAUGAGGAGGGUUUCCCAAGCUUUGCUCUGAUUAACAAGGUUACUGGUGAAGCUCUGAAGCACUCUUUUGGUGCAACUCAUCCUGUUAGGUUGAUCCGCUAUAAUCCAGACUAUCUAGAUGAGUCUGUCCUGUGGUCUGAGAGCAAGGACUUGGGUGAUGGCUUCCGAUGCAUAAGGAUGGUAAAUAACAUCCGCUUGAACUUUGAUGCCUUCCAUGGGGACAAGAACCAUGGAGGGGUGAGAGAUGGAACGAUUCUUGUGCUUUGGGAGUGGCUGAAGGGAGAUAAUCAGAGGUGGAAGAUUGUUCCUCACUGAUGUUGAGCUGUUGUUUAUAACCUCUUUGUCUCUUCUGAAAUCCUGUUCCCUCUCCAAGUUCCCUAGAAUUUCUUGCCUAUUGUCAAAUUGUAAAUGAGAAGUUUAAAUCAAACAUGGAAAAUUCUGAUGGAGAUUAUGUUAUAUCCUUAAUGUGGCUCAGUAUCCAUCUCUACAAGCUCUCGUUGUUAGUCAUAUUAUUCAGAAUAAGCUGUACGUUUCAUGUGAGAGUGCUUUUGUUUAUCCGAGCAAGAGUGGAGGUUAUAGUUUAACAGUGGUCCUUUGUAUUUUCAUGCUAUAUCUGAAUGUAAACGGUCUCCAGUUUCUUUAUGUCUAUCUUCGCUGCUAAAUAUACAUGCUAAACAGUUGUUUUAUUAAUAUCAUGUGGAAUAUAUUGAUUCCGACUCA